rnacentral:lncRNA from 1 species
UGUAAGCAUUGGCAUAAAAUUAUUUUGCUGAGAGUUAAAAAUCAAUAAAAAAAAAUCUAUUGGACAUAAACUAAAAGAGACCUUGUGCAGUAGAUUAAUCAAAACCGCAAUGCUAAGCAUGUUUACCUGAACUAUUGCAGAUCAUGCUACUCGAUCUACCGAGGGAGGGGAGGGGCUCUUGAUGCCACAUGCCAGUGAGCAGUGGCUUCAAAAUCCAAAUAGAGGGGAGAUGC